UGGGGCUGAAGCAGGUCCCAAGGGUAUGGCUGUUCGCCAUUUAAAGUGGUACGCGAGCUGGGUUCAGAACGUCGUGAGACAGUUCGGUCCCUAUCUGCCGUGGGCGUUGGAGAUUUGAGGGAAGCUGACCUUAGUACGAGAGGACCGGGUUGGACGAACCUCUGGUGUUCCGGUUGUCACGCCAGUGGCACAGCCGGGUAGCUACGUUCGGAAGGGAUAACCGCUGAAAGCAUCUAAGCGGGAAGCCCCUCCCAAGAUUAGAUCUCCCUGGGAACUUGAUUCCCCUAAAGAGCCGUGGAAGACCACCACGUUGAUAGGCUGGAUGUGGAAGCGCAGUAAUGCGUGCAGCUAACCAGUACUAAUGACUCGUGAGGCUUGACCAUAUAACACCCAAAUGG
rnacentral:rRNA from 1 species